rnacentral:ribozyme from 14 species
AAAAGGUAACACGGUCACAUCGUUCAAUUCAUUUGUUCUACUCGACUCUUCUCCGUCUACUCCUUUUUCUUUUUCUUCUUUUUCUUCUUUUUC